GAAGGUUAACCUUUCUACCUUAAUUUUUUUGAUUUUGAAGGUUCUUUUUACCUUAAUUAUUUUUUGAAUCAAUGGAGACCAUUGCAAGACUCCGCUGUCGUAACCCAUCUUUCCUCACCUCCCUCGGUGAUAGUCCCCGCUGACAAUUUAAAGAUUUGGUAUCCUAAUGAAGAAGAUGCAGUCAUCAUGUGUCAUCUUGGAAGGAGAGAGUGAAUCCUCACCAGACCCUGAAUCUAUUGAUGCCUUGCUAUUUGAUGUCCCAGCUUCCAGAGUGUCAGAAAUAAACUUCUAUUAUUUAUAAAUUA